rnacentral:snRNA from 1 species
AUACUACCUGGCAGGGGAGAUACCACGAUCAUGAAGGUGGUUUUCUCAAGGCAAGGCUUAUCCAUUGCACUCCAGAUGUGCUGACCCCUGCAAUUUCCCCAAAUGUGGGAAACACUAUUGCAAUAUUUGUGGUAGUGGGGUACUGUGUUUGCACUCUCCCUGG